UGUGUUUUUAUGCGCUAAACAUAAUGUCAUACGACACACAAAGCCAAAAAAUAUUAAAAACUAGACGCCAUCUUGACAUUCCGGCUACCAGCCUCAAGUGAACGAGACGUCUGCUUUGAAAACUUUUUCGAACUAGCAAUAUAGGUCGUAAGCCAGCAAAAUCGGCAAUAAUCUCCAAGUUUUUUUUUUUUAUAAGGAAAACGCAUGCACAACGAAAAAAGUCAGAUAAA